UGCCAGCAGCCGCGGUAAUACGAAGGGGGCAAGCGUUGUCCGGAUUUAUUGGGCGUAAGGGCGCGCAGGCGGUCUUGUCCGUCAGGUGUGAAAGCUCGGGGCUCAACCCCGGAAGUGCACUUGAAACAGCAAGACUUGAAUACGGUAGAGGAGAGAGGAAUUCCUGGUGUAGAGGUGAAAUUCGUAGAUAUCGGGAGGAACACCGAUGGCGAAGGCGGCUGACUGGUUCAGGACUGACGCUGAGGUACGAAAGCGUGGGGAGCAAACAGGAUUAGAUA
rnacentral:rRNA from 1 species